AGAGUUUGAUCCUGGCUCAGAGUGAACGCUGGCGGCAGGCCUAAUACAUGCAAGUCGAACGGCAGCACAGCAGAGCUUGCUCUGUGGGUGGCGAGUGGCGGACGGGUGAGGAAUACGUGGGAAUCUGCCCAGUCGUGGGGGAUAACGUAGGGAAACUUACGCUAAUACCGCAUGCGCCCUUCGGGGGAAAGCCGGGGACCUUCGGGCCUGGCGCGAUUGGAUGAGCCCACGUCGGAUUAGCUAGUUGGCGGGGUAAAGGCCCACCAAGGCGACGAUCCGUAGCUGGUCUGAGAGGAUGAUCAGCCACACUGGAACUGAGACACGGUCCAGACUCCUACGGGAGGCAGCAGUAGGGAAUAUUGGACAAUGGGCGCAAUCCUGAUCCAGCCAUGCCGCGUGAGUGAAGAAGGCCCUCGGGUUGUAAAGCUCUUUUGUCCGGAAAGAAAAGCGCCGGGUUAAUACCCUGGUGUCCUGACGGUACCGGAAGAAUAAGCACCGGCUAACUUCGUG
rnacentral:rRNA from 1 species